rnacentral:lncRNA from 1 species
GGGCGCUUCCUGAAUAUUGUGUUAAUAACUGUCAUUAAGCUACUUAUAUUCAGUUUUCUCCCCAUGUGUCUUUUUAGCUUCAGUUUAGAUUCUUAUGUAUGGGUUUAACGAUAGUUCUAAGGCAGACAGGUUCAUCCCUGAUUUGGGCCAGCUGUUUUACAGUUGUGCUGUAAAUGGCAUCAAUUACAGUGGGACUCUAGUUUCUCUUUCUCUUUCUUUCAUAUCUAUCAACUCUAAGCCUUGGUGCUAAGAUACGACUAGAUAUUUCAUUUGGGACUUCAAAUUCCAGAUUUGGGGAUAGGAGGAGAAACAAGGAUGCAGUAUUUCUUUGUCACGUUGUCAAACAUUCUCUAGUGAGAGCACCUUGAACUGUCUUGAAGGAGGUGUUCAAAAUCAAAGAUAUCAUAGAAAUCUAAGCUACUCAUCAAUUUUCUUCUUCUUGAAGAGAGGAAUAAACCAAUAAACUGUGAUUUUCUUUGUAAGGGAACAUUCUGGAUCUGCUGGGUUCAUAAUUUCAAGAGUCUAAUUGUAUCGAUUUGACAUAAGAGGUGGAGAACUUAAAUGCAAAUGUGUGUGGAGUUUGAACAGUAAAAUUAUUUGGACAACUGAAAGUAUGGAGGAGUGUAUGUGGUUGUGGAAGAUGGAGUUAAAGAAAGAUGGAUUGUGCUUAGCAUUUACUACAUUUGGUCUAUUCAUCCUAGCCUAAAUUGAAUUUACCUCUUAAUGUGGCUAAAUCUGAGGGGGUUCCAUAUGGGUGGGAAGUUUGCAUGAGGCAUAGGAGAGCUCCCUCCAAAGAAAAAUCACUCGCAGAGGAAAGUUAGAGUAUACGAAGUUGGUCCAAGAAAACUGAACCAAGAGCUGAAAAUAAGGUAAAUUCAAAUAUGGCAGGCUCUCUGCUACUUGUAUGUUCCACAGCCAAGUCUUAUGCAAUUAUACUGGAGCUCUAUGGAGUGGUCCAAACUAGAAAUGGAAAGAAAUUUUCCAACCAAAAAAGGAGGACGCAAAAGAGGAUGUCGUGACCCAUGGAACUCAAAGAGGAGGGGAGGGAUACGUAUUGUUGCUGAGGUAGGUCUUCUCCACACGGACCCUAGAAAAAAGAGUUAGCAUUAGCUGGACCGUGGUUUGGAUGCUGUGGGACCACUUCUACAGGGGAGGUGCACAGGCAAUCUUGCCAAUGGCAGUGGCAACGAGAAAUAAUACAUUAUAGUGGUGUUGACAGUGGCUUGUCAUGCUUUCAGAAACAUCGGACACCUCGACCUCUGAUGACCACAUGAAGCCAGUGCAGGAGGAGAAAGAAGAAUGGACAUGCAUAAUACGUGUAUCAGAGCUGAGUUUGUGAGUACUCACAAGAAGUCCUCUGGAGACUUGCAGAAAUAUUUAGGAGGGAUCAUCAAGAUUCCUGUAGGUCUGGAAUAGAAUGUGGAGAAAGAGUCAGAGAAACAAAUAUUCAGUGGGACUUAUAGUGACUCUUUUUUUUUUUUUUUUUUUUUUUUUUGCCCUAAAAUCUGUGUGGUCUGAGGAAAUACAUGUUAAAUCUACAAAAAACUGCCCGUUGUUGGUCAGAUGCAUAUGUGGCAAAUAUUAGGAUCUGGUUCAGUUAACUUCUGUUUCUAAGCUUUUCACUCCUAUUUACUACAUUUUAAGAUAAAAUUCUCAUUCUUGCUUGCUAUUAGGGCAUGACCUUGUGAAACAGAGACAGAACUCUUAUCAAAUAAGAAUGACAAAAUCUUUUUUUUUUUUUUGUCUUUUUAUCAUUUAAGGACUGUACCUGUGGCAUAUGGAGGUUCCCAGGUUAGGGGAGAAUGACAAAAAUCUUUUGAGAAGAAAGCUGUAGUCCUUCAUACUUGCUCUCUUCUUUCUGGCUGGAAUGAGGAUGGAAUGGCUGGAACUGUCAAAGUGAUUGUGUUACCAUGAAGUCAAAUGCAGUAUGAAACAAUUGUGGGAAUCUGGUUCCUCGAUGGCAUUGUUGACGUCUACAAAAGCAUUGGAAUGUCAGUUCCUGGACUUUGGGGCAUAUGAGAAAAUCUUUUACUUCUUUAAGCCACUCUUUGUUGUUGCUGUUUUUGUUUUAAUCCAUAUGUAACCUAUUGGAUUUUAAAUGGAUAUGUUUGGAAUAUAUUCUAUUAUUCUAAAUAAGCUCUCUUCUCUUCCUAGACUGACAUAAAUCUAAAUUUACUGUUUUUCCAUUAGUCAAAGAAUGACCUAAAAAAAAAGAGUCCCAAAUAUUUGUUCUAUCAUCUUGUUGGCACAGAACAAAGAUGAAAUACUCAUUCAUUAUUUAAUUACUUGGGAUCCUGGAAAGGCACAUGUUAAUUUGAAAGAGAGAACAUCAUAUUUGCAUGUAUUGCCCUUAUUUUUUCUUUUUAUAGCAGGGCGAUAGACAUGGGGAUAAAAUAUCCUAACAUAUUAACUGAUUGGCACUUGGUAAAUGUUACGUUUCAUUCCUUAUCUAAGUUAUGAACAAGAAAUAGAAAAUCAAAAUUCCAUGGCUGCAGUGACACUAAAUUAGAAGCACCAAAUAAAGAAAUAUUUUACUUCUCGGGGGGCAGCUCCCAUGGAGUGUGGAAGUUUCCUGGCCAGGGAUCAAACCCGUGCCACCACAGCAACCUAAACUGCUGCAGUGACAAUGAUGGAACCUUGACCCACUGCACCACAAAGGAACUCCAAAAAAGAAAUAUUUUAAUACACCGGUUGUCAGGUCAUGUUUGCCAGUAACUUUAUAUUUUCACAUUUGUUGUUCUAUACUGAUCAUCAAAGUUUUGUUUACAUGUACACAUAAAAAUAUGUAGAUAUCUGUGCAAAAAUUCCUGGAAAUCAAGCAUAGAAAAAAAAUCCUGAGCUGAAUUGGGGACCACUGGUCUGCAAUUUGGCCAACAGGCCAAAUGUAAACUGGAGCUGAAGCUUUUGCAGAUUAUAUAAUUAUCUCCAAGUAGGAAGGGUUUUGUUUUUCACUUUAGCCCCUCCCCUUCCCCUGGCCUAAUGGGUAUAAACGGGGGCAGCCAUUUUCAGACAAAUGUGUUAUACAGAAAAAAAAAUAAAAUUUAUUGCAGUGUUAUUUUUUAUUUCAGUAAAACCACGAGAUAUCCAUUCAGUGGGGAUAAAAGAGACAGAGAGGUGAAAGGAAAGGGCCAAGCACAUCCAGGAAUGAGUGAGCCUGACUCUACAAUGGAAAGAGUGUCUGCACCUUGUACACACCACACACUCUGAUUAGGAUAAUACGAUCCAGAUGGCCACUCCAAGAAGAUUCCUUUCAUGAGGAAAGUUCUGGGUGGGGUGGAUUAUUGUGAUCAAUGGAAUAAAACUGCAGCUGGAUGAACUCUUGGUUACCUUUGAGAAUUGCUAAAUUAAUGAUGAUUACACAGAUUUUGAAAAAUCUCCCAGGAAUUUUUCUAAGAUGGUUGAUUUAAAACAAAAAAAGGGUGUAGGGGCCAGAUCUUUUCAGAGCAAGGAAGAGCAGCCUCUUAGAGAUGAGUGGGCCUCCAGGAGGAUUUGAGAGGGCAGUGCUUACAGGCCGUGCUGAUUUUUAGCAGGUCAGCCCCAGUGGAGCUGUCCAGGUUGUGUACAGCCAAUGAUGAUCCUGGCUGGUUGAGCCACAACCUCCACCAACUGAUAAAUAUUUUGAAUAUCAUCCCUGCUUUUCAGCAGAAGUUGUUGGCAUUAAUUAGUAUCCCUUGACAGGCAAAUGGCUAAGUCAAUAAACUAAAGACAUCUAAGACAGAGUGGGAAUAGGAAAUAAGUUUCAUCCAUCAGAGGCUCAUGGAGCAUUUACUGUGUACUCAGCUUUAUAGCAGGUGCUAGAUAUUCAGUCAAUAAUACCUCAUUUUGUUUGACUCAAGGGCUUAAGCUAGCUAAUGCCAGAACCACUUAGAUUCACAUUGAAAUUGUUUCCCUGCAUGAAUCCGAAUCAGUUCAUUCACUAGGUGUUUAUGUAUUGAGCCCUUCUAACUUGCCUGAUAGUCAACCAGGGACUAGAACUGAAUGAAUUAGGAGUGUCAUGACUGGGUACAUUAAUUCUUUUAAACCAUUACCUUUUAGGACACUGAGCAGCAAUUUGCUUAACUAAAUAGAUAUCUUAAGUGUACACCCCAGGAGCUUCACCUCCUGUCAAGAGGAAGAAAGCCAAAAGGUUAUAGGCACAUUUUCCACCAGAGACUCUCUGAAGAGUCUUUGGGUAGCAUCAAAGGGAUACUCUUGAUGUGGUCACUUUGGAGGAAAAAGUGCAAUAGAUUUCAUAUGUAAUAUAAAAGAAGAGAAUGAAUGCUAAAAAUUCCCAGGUAGGGAAUCUGACCUAUAUUUACAGGUCAUUCAAAAAAUUGGCCAGAAUAGACUCCUCCAAAAAUCAUUCUUCACCUUUGCAUUUACAGUUUGUUUCUUAUGAAAAAGCUUUUGCUGAGUCAGAGGAAGACAUUUGUGGGAAAGUGUGAAACAGUGAGAUAAAGCAAGGCAGAGAAGGGAAUGAAAGGGCAGACACACAAUCAAUAUUACAAAAGCAACUUCCAACACUCCUUCGCAGAUGAAUGAAGGCAGGUGCACAAUAAUUCUGCUGCUGCUAAGCCCAACUGAACUUCAUCAAAUUAAGAAAUGUUAAUUGGCUUCAGAAGAAAGCUGAAAAGAUUCUCCAAAUUCACAGAGCAACUAGGCAGCAAGUUACGUUAAAGCUGGAAAGGGAAAGAGGAAGGGAGGAGCAAGAAGUAAGACAAGGAAGGAAGAAGGAGUUGAGGGCAUGCAGAGCUUAGGGAUCUGUAUCUGAUUGGCAUUAUAUUUAUUUAUUUAGUCUUUUUAGGGCCGCACCCAUGGCAUGUGGAGGUUCCCAGGCUAGAGGUCAAAUCGGACCUGUAGCUGCCCACCUACACCAGAGCCACAGCAACGCCAGUUCCGAGACGCAUCUGCGACCUACACCACAGCUCACGGCAAUGCCAGAUCUUUAACCCACUGAGCAAGGCCAGGGAUCGAACCCACAACCUCAUGGUUCCUAGUCAGAUUCGUUUCUGCUGUGCCAUGACGGGAACUCUUUAUUGUUGAUUUAAAUCUUGAGUUUUACAAGACAUUUUUUUGAGUUCCGAAUUAAAGUGGUGCUAUGUCAAACAGAGACCUGUAUAAGAUAUUCUGCAAUGGGGCGCAUUUGUUAAGAUUCAAACAUGAAUGACAAUGUGAAUAAUACUAAGUAUGAAAACAGACAUGAUAGUAUCAAAACGCAGAUUACAUCACCAGUUAUGUAUUACAUGACAUUCCCUCAAGAACAAUCUGUAGAGUGAAUGGCUGCAUACCCACAAUCUUAGACUGAUUUCCCACAGAAACGUGUCUUCAAGCCAUAGGGAUUUGUGAUUGAGUAUUUGUGGUAUCCAACAUCUAGUUGAUUGGCAAUUGAUUCAGUUUUUCAGUUUUCAUUCUAAUGGCUGACGUGUUAAGUCCGAUCUAACCUGAAAUAACAACUGUAUCUGAGAGAUUAAAAACUAUGAAAUAUUUACCAAAGAUAAAUCAACAGGCAUCCACCAUAGUGAGUCACGGUUCUCACUUAAUCUGCCAUGCAGCCCCUGUUAACAGAUAAAUUCCUACCGGAAAUAUUGGUACUUUAGAAAAUUCAGUCGGUGAGCAAAUAUAUUGAUAAGCAAAUAAAGUGAAAUAGCAAAUUUUGUGAUGUGGAAAGAGGUAAUUAUCAAAAACAUGUUUGAAAUCCUGGUAAAAUUUUCAUAAAACUGAAAUUUCUGUCUGGGUAUGGAAAGAGCCAAAA